rnacentral:rRNA from 1 species
CGAGUGGCGGACGGGUGAGUAAUGUCUGGGAAACUGCCUGAUGGAGGGGGAUAACUACUGGAAACGGUAGCUAAUACCGUAUAACGUCGCAAGACCAAAGAGGGGGACCCUCGGGCCUCUUGCCAUCGGAUGUGCCCAGAUGGGAUUAGCUUGUUGGUGGGGUAACGGCUCACCAAGGCGACGAUCCCUAGCUGGUCUGAGAGGAUGACCAGCCACACUGGAACUGAGACACGGUCCAGACUCCUACGGGAGGCAGCAUG